AACCAUCUCAGGUAGAUCCAAGUACUUUAGAUGCUGUUUAUCUUGGUGAAAUAAAUUCAUAGGAGAAAUUCUGACUGCUAUCCAACUACCUGCGUUUGCCACAAUUCACCAGAGGUAUCUAUAUGGCAAUUGCUCAUGGACCUUACAUUCUUCAGAAUCUGUUCAUUUCAUGUAAAAAUAAGUUCUUGGGAGAAAUUUGAAAUAUUAUUUGCUGUUACUUGCAUGAUUUGGAGCAAUAUUCUUCCCAUAAUAUUGGCAAAAACAACAGCACCUUAGUAAUAGCAAAAACAACAGCAACAUAUUCUUUUACAAUAGUGAUAUAUUAUCAACAGGUUUA
rnacentral:misc_RNA from 1 species